rnacentral:rRNA from 1 species
UACAUGUGGGGCAAGCGUUGUUCGGAAUUACUGGGCAUAAAGGGUGCGUAGGCGGUUUGUUAAGUCACUGGUGAAAGUUUUCGGCCCAACCGGAAAAUUGCCUGUGAUACUGGCGAACUUGAGUGCGUGAGGGGUGGGGGGAACGAGCAGUGUAGCGGUGAAAUGCGUAGAGAUCGGGAGGAACACCAGUGGCGAAGGCGGCCUUCUGGACCAGCACUGACACUCAAGCACGAAAGCGUGGGGAGCAAACAGG